rnacentral:rRNA from 1 species
UACGGAGGGUGCAAGCGUUAUCCGGAUUCACUGGGUUUAAAGGGUGCGUAGGUGGGCUGUUAAGUCAGUGGUGAAAUCUCCAGGCUUAACCUGGAAAUUGCCGUUGAUACUAUAUAUCUUGAAUGCUGUGGAGGUAAGCGGAAUAUGUCAUGUAGCGGUGAAAUGCUUAGAGAUGACAUAGAACACCUAUUGCGAAGGCAGCUUACUACGCAGAUAUUGACGCUCAUGCACGAAAGCGUGGGGAUCAAACAGG